rnacentral:rRNA from 1 species
AGCGAACGCUGGCGGCAGGCCUAACACAUGCAAGUCGAACGAUCCUUCGGGAUAGUGGCGGACGGGUGAGUAACACGUGGGAACGUGCCCUUUGGUUCGGAACGACUCAGGGAAACUUGAGCUAAUACCGAAUGUGCCCUUCGGGGGAAAGAUUUAUCGCCAUUGGAGCGGCCCGCGUCUGAUUAGCUAGUUGGUGAGGUAACGGCUCACCAAGGCGACGAUCAGUAGCUGGUCUGAGAGGAUGAUCAGCCACAUUGGGACUGAGACACGGCCCAAACUCCUACGGGAGGCAGCAGUGGGGAAUCUUGCGCAAUGGGCGAAAGCCUGACGCAGCCAUGCCGCGUGAAUGAUGAAGGUCUUAGGAUUGUAAAAUUCUUUCACCGGGGACGAUAAUGACGGUACCCGGAGAAGAAGCUCCGGCUAACUUCGUGCCAGCCGCCGCCGUAAGAC